UAGGGAAUCUUCCGCAAUGGACGCAAGUCUGACGGAGCAACGCCGCGUGAGUGAAGAAGGAUUUCGGUUCGUAAAACUCUGUUGUUAGAGAAGAACAGCGCAUAGAGUAACUGUUAUGCGUGUGACGGUAUCUAACCAUAAAGCCACGGCUAACUACGUGCCAGCAGCCGCGGUAAUACGUAGGUGGCAAGCGUUGUCCGGAUUUAUUGGGCGUAAAGCGAGCGCAGGCGGUCAAUUAAGUCUGAUGUGAAAGCCCCCGGCUCAACCGGGGAGGGUCAUUGGAAACUGGUUGACUUGAGUGCAGAAGAGGAGAGUGGAAUUCCAUGUGUAGCGGUGAAAUGCGUAGAUAUAUGGAGGAACACCAGUGGCGAAGGCGACUCUCUGGUCUGUAACUGACGCUGAGGCUCGAAAGCGUGGGUAGCAAACAGG
rnacentral:rRNA from 1 species